UACGUAGGGUGCAAGCGUUUAAUCGGAAUUACUGGGCGUAAAGCGUGCGCAGGCGGUUUUGUAAGUCUGUCGUGAAAUCCCCGGGCUCAACCUGGGAAUUGCGAUGGAGACUGCAAGGCUGGAGUCUGGCAGAGGGGGGUAGAAUUCCACGUGUAGCAGUGAAAUGCGUAGAGAUGUGGAGGAACACCGAUUGCGAAGGCAGCUCGCUGGGACGUAACUGACGCUGAGACGGCGAAAAGCGUGGGGAGCCAACAGG
rnacentral:rRNA from 1 species